rnacentral:rRNA from 1 species
UACGAAGGGGGCUAGCGUUGUUCGGAAUUACUGGGCGUAAAGCGCGUGUAGGCGGGUCUUUAAGUCAGGGGUGAAAUGCCAAGGCUCAACCUUGGAACUGCCUUUGAUACUGGAGACCUUGAGUCCGGGAGAGGUGAGUGGAAUUGCGAGUGUAGAGGUGAAAUUCGUAGAUAUUCGCAAGAACACCAAUGGCGAAGGCGGCUCACUGGCCCGGAACUGACGCUGAGACGCGAAAGCGUGGGGAGCAAACAGG